AACAUGGCAUAUCAAGUGGGGAAAAUGUGGCCACGUGCCCACUGCCCACCCCACCAGCAGUGCACACCACGGACUGAGCCACCCGCCCCACAGCCUGGCUUUCUCCUGCAUUUGGGAUCCUUCUUGAUCCAGGACCCAGGCCUCACUACCAACUGGCUGGUUGAAGUUAACCUAGGGUUGAAAUCGAUUGGUUCUCCCAGUCCAUAGCUUCAUUGACUGGUUAAAGUUAACCUAGGGGUUGAAAUCUACUGGUUCUCCCAGUCCGUAGCUUCUUUCCCCUUACCCAUAUUAUAUUUCUGAACCCAUGAAUAUUUGAAAGGACUCCCAGGGAGGACAUUAAAACACCAAGCUUACUGGGGCACAGGGACCUGGUUCUGGAUUCCUGUUCUCCCGAAUGGACGCCAUCCGAUGGCAAAGUUGACAUCCAAGGGAGCAAAGUCGACUGUUCCGAAGCCCUCCAUGUUUACAGAUCUUAACAUUGGUGAAGCAGCAAGGAUGUUCUUGUUAGGAAACAUCCUGAGAGCCCUCUGCUAAAAUACUUUCUCAAGAAACAGAGACAUCUGUGAGGCAUAGCUCUUCCUGGGUGAUGCGCAUGUGCAGGGGCGGCAGGUGCAACCGCGCUCUCCAGGCAAACACCUGCGGGAGGCGCGGCGGAUGCCCGGCCCAGUAAUAAGAGGGAGCACGGAGAGGAGGCUCUGGAGAAAGAAAUGCACUUCCCUUGCUGAGAGAAAAUGUUUCAUUAUGGUAUUUUCUUACGAUUUCUGAGUCAAUCUUGUGAGCAAAUACAGGAUCUACUUAGGGGUUAUUUAUUAUAAAUGAAGUAAGUGAAAAUGCUCUGGAGAAGAAAGAAAUAUGACCACCAGGAAGAACCAGAAAUUGAGCUUUCAGCAAAUGCACCCAUGGCUGGUGUUUCAUCUGCUUCUCCCUCUAUUUUCUCUUCCUCAACUGCUACUUGAACUGACAUGAAGCUAAUUAGAUUCUGCUUUUUCAAGAGAGAAAGAGUUAUUAAUUUUCGUAUUUAAGACUCUGCAGUCCUCGUGCCUUUACAGGGACUCUGCCUUCUCCUGUGCUGAGCAGAAGCCCUGGCUGCCAUUCCCAACGGUGGACCCGGGAGCCCGGGAGACCGAGCGGGGCCAGGAAAUCCCACAGGGAAAGCCCUGCCUCUGGAGACCUCACGGGGGUGGAGCCCACAGGCUGUCCGGGGACUGCGGUCCCAGGCACCCAACUCCACCCGACACACAGACACCCUGACGGCCAGCCCGGCCCAGCACGGUCUGUGCAGGGACCCUGGUGAAGGGUCCGUUACUCAUUCGCUGAGGUCCCUUUUCUCACUCUGGACACGGCUGCAGCGUCUAACGCAGUGGUCAUUUGGAAGAGAAAGCUGUAUUUGCUCUCUGGUUCACUUGAUCCUUAAUGUUUACCUUUCUUUUUGUUUGGAUGCAUGU
rnacentral:lncRNA from 1 species